rnacentral:rRNA from 1 species
UACGUAGGGUGCAAGCGUUGUCCGGAAUUAUUGGGCGUAAAGAGCUCGUAGGCGGUCUGUCGCGUCUGCUGUGAAAAUCCAGGGCUCAACCCUGGACCUGCAGUGGGUACGGGCAGACUAGAGUGCGGUAGGGGAGAUCGGAAUUCCUGGUGUAGCGGUGAAAUGCGCAGAUAUCAGGAGGAACACCGGUGGCGAAGGCGGAUCUCUGGGCCGUAACUGACGCUGAGAAGCGAAAGCAUGGGGAGCGAACAGG